GCGCUAAUAGCUCAGUUGGGAGAGCGUCAGACUGAAGUUUAUCUUCAGUGCUUAGCAAACUCGGGGUAAUCUGAAGGUCACCCGUUCAAUCCGGGUUUGGCGCA